GACGAACGCUGGCGGCGUGCCUAAUACAUGCAAGUCGAACGCAGUGGGGACGGGUGAGUCACACGUGGGUAACCUCCCAUCAGAGGGGAUAACAAUUGGAAAAAGGUGCUAAACCGAUAUUGAUGGCUGGACCGGCUGUGCAUUAGCUAGUUGGUGAGGUAACGGCUCCUGAAGGCCACGAUACAUAGCUGGCCUGAGAGGGUGAUCGGCCACACUGGGACUGAGACACGGCACAGCCUCCUACGGGAGGCAGCAGUGGGGAAUAUUCGGCAAGGGACGAAAGUCUGACCGAGCAACGCCGCGUGAUUGAAGAAGGUGUUCGGAUCGUAAACCUCUGUUGUUAGAGAGGCGGUAUCUAACCAGAAAGCCACGGCUAACUACGUGCCAGCAGCCGCGGUAAUUC
rnacentral:rRNA from 1 species